UAGGGAAUAUUGGUCAAUGGGCGAGAGCCUGAACCAGCCAUGCCGCGUGCAGGACGACGGCCUUCUGGGUUGUAAACUGCUUUUAUACAGGAAUAAAAGGGUCUUGCGAGACCGAUUGCAUGUACUGUAUGAAUAAGCACCGGCUAACUCCGUGCCAGCAGCCGCGGUAAUACGGAGGGUGCAAGCGUUGUCCGGAUUUAUUGGGUUUAAAGGGUGCGUAGGCGGUUAUUUAAGUCAGUGGUGAAAACCCUGAGCUCAACUGAGGGCUUGCCAUUGAUACUGGGUAACUUGAUUACCGUAUAGGUAGGCGGAAUUUAUGGUGUAGCGGUGAAAUGCAUAGAUACCAUAAAGAACACCGAUAGCGAAGGCAGCUUACUGGACGUGUAAUGACGCUGAUGCACGAAAGCGUGGGUAGCGAACGGGAUUAGAUACCCCCGUAGUCC
rnacentral:rRNA from 1 species